rnacentral:rRNA from 1 species
AGGUAAGCUACUAAGAGCGAAUGGUGGAUGCCUUGACUGGUAAAGGCGAUGAAGGACGUACUAGACUGCGAUAAGCUACGGGGAGCUGUCAAGAAGCUUUGAUCCGUAGAUUUCCGAAUGGGGCAACCCAAUGUAUAGAGAUAUACAUUACCUAUAUAGGAGCGAACGAGGGGAAUUGAAACAUCUUAGUACCCUCAGGAAAAGAAAUCAAUAGAGAUUGCGUCAGUAGCGGCGAGCGAAAGCGCAAGAGGGCAAACCCAGUGCUUGCACUGGGGGUUGUAGGACUGUAAUGUGCAAGAGGUAAGUUUAGCAGAACAUUCUGGAAAGUAUAACCAUAGAGGGUGAUAGUCCCGUAUGCGAAAAACAAACCUUAGCUAGCAGUAUCCUGAGUAGGGCGGGACACGAGGAAUCCUGUCUGAAUCCGGGUCGACCACGAUCCAACCCUAAAUACUAAUACCAGAUCGAUAGUGCACAAGUACCGUGAGGGAAAGGUGAAAAGAACUGAGGUGAUCAGAGUGAAAUAGAACCUGAAACCAUUUGCUUACAAUCAUUCAGAGCCCUAUGUAGCAAUACAGGGUGAUGGACUGCCUUUUGCAUAAUGAGCCUGCGAGUUGUGGUGUCUGGCAAGGUUAAGCAAACGCGAAGCCGUAGCGAAAGCGAGUCUGAAUAGGGCGCUUAGUCAGAUGCUGCAGACCCGAAACGAAGUGAUCUAUCCAUGAGCAAGUUGAAGCUAGUGUAAGAACUAGUGGAGGACUGAACCCAUAGGCGUUGAAAAGCCCCGGGAUGACUUGUGGAUAGGGGUGAAAGGCCAAUCAAACUUCGUGAUAGCUGGUUCUCUCCGAAAUAUAUUUAGGUAUAGCGUUGUGUCGUAAUAUAAGGGGGUAGAGCACUGAAUGGGCUAGGGCAUACACCAAUGUACCAAACCCUAUCAAACUCCGAAUACCUUAUAUGUAAUCACAGCAGUCAGGCGGCGAGUGAUAAAAUCCGUCGUCAAGAGGGAAACAACCCAGACUACCAGCUAAGGUCCCUAAAUCUUACUUAAGUGGAAAACGAUGUGAAGUUACUUAAACAACCAGGAGGUUGGCUUAGAAGCAGCCAUCCUUUAAAGAAAGCGUAAUAGCUCACUGGUCUAGUGAUUUUGCGCGGAAAAUAUAACGGGGCUAAAGUAAGUACCGAAGCUGUAGACUUAGUUUACUAAGUGGUAGGAGAGCGUUCUAUUUGCGUCGAAGGUAUACCGGUAAGGAGUGCUGGAGCGAAUAGAAGUGAGCAUGCAGGCAUGAGUAGCGAUAAUUAAUGUGAGAAUCAUUAACGCCGUAAACCCAAGGUUUCCUACGCGAUGCUCGUCAUCGUAGGGUUAGUCGGGUCCUAAGUCGAGUCCGAAAGGGGUAGACGAUGGCAAAUUGGUUAAUAUUCCAAUACCAACAUUAGUGUGCGAUGGAAGGACGCUUAGGGCUAAGGGGGCUAGCGGAUGGAAGUGCUAGUCUAAGGUCGUAGGAGGUUAUACAGGCAAAUCCGUAUAACAAUACUCCGAGAACUGAAAGGCUUUUUGAAGUCUUCGGAUGGAUAGAAGAACCCCUGAUGCCGUCGAGCCAAGAAAAGUUUCUAAGUUUAGCUAAUGUUGCCCGUACCGUAAACCGACACAGGUGGGUGGGAUGAGUAUUCUAAGGCGCGUGGAAGAACUCUCUUUAAGGAACUCUGCAAAAUAGCACCGUAUCUUCGGUAUAAGGUGUGGUUAGCUUUGUAUUAGGAUUUACUCCGAAAGCAAGGAAACUUACAACAAAGAGUCCCUCCCGACUGUUUACCAAAAACACAGCA